rnacentral:rRNA from 1 species
UGGGGAAUCUUGGUCAAUGGGCGCAAGCCUGAACCAGCGACGCCGCGUGAGUGAUGAAGGCCUUCGGGUUGUAAAGCUCUGUGGGGAGGGACGAAAAGAGUCAGUCUAAUAGGCUGAUAAAUUGACGGUACCUCCUUAGCAAGCACCGGCUAACUCUGUGCCAGCAGCCGCGGUAAGACAGAGGGUGCAAACGUUGCUCGGAAUUACUGGGCGUAAAGCGCGUGUAGGCGGGUUUCCAAGUCAGAUGUGAAAUCCCCGGGCUCAACCCGGGAACUGCAUUUGAAACUGGGAGUCUUGAGUAUCGGAGAGGAAAGCGGAAUUCCUGGUGUAGAGGUGAAAUUCGUAGAUAUCAGGAGGAACACCGGUGGCGAAGGCGGCUUUCUGGACGAUAACUGACGCUGAGACGCGAAAGCGUGGGGAGCAAACAG